ACUGCCACCCCACCUGACUAACCCUAGUGCCCUUUCUCCUUCCCCUCCAUCCCCACCAGCCGCCACACCCCUCCCUCUCUCCCUCAUCCUCUCCUCACCCGCAGCUGUCGGCCUGGUUUCUCCACUCACAUCCUCCUCUCCUCUACCAUGUUGUCGUAGAUCCACCGCCGGCCUUCUCCUCUGCUUGCAUAGGUCAUCAUCGUGGGAGAGCAGUAGCGGCAGGGUCUUCGUGGUGCGGGUGAGGAUGUAGGGGAGGGGUAGGAUGCGACGACAAGGCGAAGGAGGAGGCCAGCGAGGAAGGCAAGCAAUAGCAGGGAAGGAGCAGGGUGAGUUUCCUAGCGGGUGGGAAGGGGCAGGGUGAGGCCUCGCGCACCUGCCGGCGGCCAGCAGGUCGAAUUGUCGUGCCACCAUGGUCGCCUCCUCUGCAUCUCUGCCUCUAUCCCCCCUCCCUCUAGCAGUAGGAGCAAGGAGAGGCACCAUGAGGAGUGGAACGCAAAGAUCAAGCGAUGGCCGGACAACAGGAGGAAGGAGCUGACGGUGGUCAUAGUUUGCCUCUACCUUGCUGUGUGCCAAAGACAGAUCCAGAAGAUAUGAAUAAUAAUUUAAGUGGAUGGCCGAUGCGCCUUGUUGUUUAGUGGUAUGCUGGCGGUGGAAGUAUGUUCUAUAUUGUAGACGGGCAAAGCUUGCUGCAUGUGUAGCACCGCUAGUUGCUCCCUACUUGGCAUAUUAUCUUCACUUGGUGAUGUGAAAGUUAGCUACUGUGAUCAAGGAAAUAGCAUGUAUCUUUGUGGUUUGUUCCUGCUGUUGAUCGGCGUUGCUGUGCUUAAGCUGCUGGAGGGGAAAGAGCAGAGGAUCCGAGAGGCGAAGCAACCGAAGGAGCCGGAGAACAUGACCCCUGCCUAUGUACGGCCAUAUCCCCCAUGGCUUCUACAAGGACCAGAUGCAAGGUUUCUUUUAGGAGCUUGGGGCUAUUAAGAAGAGGGUCAGUAUUGUCCGGAACCGCAAGAUGUAAUUAUAAAUGGCAUUACGAAUGAGUAGAUCCGACUUGGGGAUGGCAUGGUUGAUGUAUGCAACCAUGGGAGUGUCAGCUUAGUCUGGUCCUCAUCCACCAAAGGCUCCCGGGCUUGGCCAUCGGUAGAGUUAUGCGAAACAAGGUUUUUUAGGGAACUCUUUUGAAAGGCAUGUGUGUACAGAACACAUGUUUCAUCGUCUUCUCUUUUUUUCAUGAGUUGUUGAACAGAUCUUAUGAAGCUUGAUUGAUAGUGUUUCAACUCAGAUGAAGUAUUCUGGAUGAUCAGUUUUGCAGAUCCUGGAGAUCAUUAUACCUUCUGUACAAUGCACUAUUCGGGA